CACCUGGGGUCUGCAUGGCCUGAAGGGUGGCUCUCCCACAGGCAAUCCCGCCUCCAGGGCAUCGCCCCGCCCCAUUGUCUCCGUCUUGGUAUCGCCCCGCCCCUUCUGCCUUUCCCGGGGGACGCUGGGAUCUCUCUACUAGCUUUGGAAAGUCGCGGCUGUAGCGCCCUUCUAACGUCACCACGCGGCUCUCGUGGCUCCUGUUUCUCAGCCCAUUCCAGGUCACCUCCCCCCCCUCCCCCGUUGCCCUCAUGCCUGGAAACGGAAGUGCGCUCCCGGAAACGGAAGUGAAUGCCGUACUCCGCGUGCAGGCCCGCCUCCUUCCACAUCAACCAGUCUAAGGUUGCUCCCACCAGACUAGGAGGACUGGAGAGUAGGGUUGGGGUCAAAGGGUAGCCUCCUGCAGGUCGCCUCCUCCUGUGGCUUUCCCGGACGUCGCGCUGGGACUUCCUGCCGACACCGCACUUCUUCCCAGACUCCCACCUGCGCCGCUGGGGGCUUGGGUCCAGUCUUGCUCUGCCACCCAACCCUGGAGUGCAAUGGCGCAAUCUUGGCUCACUGCAACCUCUGCUUCCCAAGUUGAAGUGAUUCUCCUACCUCAGCCUCCCGAGUAGCUGGGAUUACAGGCAUGUGCCACCACACCUGGCUGAUCUUUCUUUUAGUAGAGAUGGGGUUUCACCAUGUUGUCCAGGCUGGUCUCGAACUCCUGACUUCGUGAUCCACCCACCUUGGCCUCCCAAAGUGCUGGGAUUACAGAUUUCCAGGGUCUUUGAAGAUGUUAGUUCACUGUUUAUUCAUGUGGGUUCCUGUAAAUGUCUGCAGCCAAUCUGGAAGUGGAGCUGUAUUUGGAACUUUUUGAAUCUAAAUCAGUUUGGGAGAAGUGAGUCUUUUCAGAAUUUGACCUUUCAAUGAAUGUCUCAAAUUUGUUUACGUCAUCUUUAAUGUUUUCAAUACUGUCUUCAAAACAAUUUGCACUCACUACAGUAUGGAAUUCAUACUCAAAAAUAUGGAAGAAUAUCUG
rnacentral:lncRNA from 1 species